rnacentral:rRNA from 1 species
AUUGAACGCUGGCGGCAGGCCUAACACAUGCAAGUCGAACGGUAGCACAGAGGAGCUUGCUCCUUGGGUGACGAGUGGCGGACGGGUGAGUAAUGUCUGGGAAACUGCCCGAUGGAGGGGGAUAACUACUGGAAACGGUAGCUAAUACCGCAUAACGUCGCAAGACCAAAGAGGGGGACCUUCGGGCCUCUUGCCAUCGGAUGUGCCCAGAUGGGAUUAGCUAGUAGGUGGGGUAACGGCUCACCUAGGCGACGAUCCCUAGCUAGUCUGAGAGGAUGACCAGCCACACUGGAACUGAGACACGGUCCAGACUCCUACGGGAGGCAGCAGUGGGGAAUAUUGCACAAUGGGCGCAAGCCUGAUGCAGCCAUGCCGCGUGUAUGAAGAAGGCCUUCGGGUUGUAAAGUACUUUCAGCGAGGAGGAAGGCGUUGUGGUUAAUAACCGCAACGAUUGACGUUACUCGCAGAAGAAGCACCGGCUAACUCCGUGCCAGCCGCCGCGGUAA